rnacentral:misc_RNA from 1 species
UGAGCAAUAUAGUUAAUGCAUUGCGAUAUUGGAAGUCCCGCAAGCAUCUUCAACUAAAUCGGUAGCUACAAAGUUGAUUGAGAAGAGAAAUUCAGGCUAUUUUGCCGGUACAUAUUUUAAUUUGAGAUUUUUCUAUGCUUUGCCCCUAAGCUUGAGAGAUAAGCUUGAGAGAUAAGCUUGAAGAAUGUGCUAUUUGAAAUCAAAACACAACCCGAUUAAAAAACUCGACACAUGAACCGACUUGAAUAUUAUAUCUAAUGGUCUAUUUGGAUUAUGGUGAAGGAGGGGUAAAUAAAGGGAAGAAUGGAUAUCUAACUAUUUUAUCCCUGUUUGGAAAAAGGUGAGUUAGUGAAGGGUAAAAGUAAGCAAAGAUAAACCUUACCCUCCUUUAUCUCUCAAAUCUAAAUUUUUAUCUCUAUUUAUACACCUCCUUAAAUUUAUCACUCCUUAAUAAAAAAUAUACAUUAUUCCUCCUUAUCUUUCUAUUAAUUCACCAAUUCCUAAACAUAAGAUUUUUUUUUAUUAUUAUAACCUUUUUUACCCUUCCUCUUCCUUAUCCUUUCUUACUCUCCCAUUAUUUACACUUCCCUCACCCUUCAAUCUAUCCAAACAGAGCCUAAGUAAAUUCGUAAUCUUAGCUUAAGCUAUUGGCAGUAGUCAUCUCCAAUUCCUUAUCUCUUCUCAAGAAACAAAACCCUUAAGCUACUAGUAGUAAUCUCCAAUUCCACAUUUCUCUUCAAGAAACACAAAUUUUCGGUAGCAAACAACUAAUGUUUUCUUCAACCAUGGAAGCCAUCAUCUCCGUGGUGGUCAUAUCCUCCUCCUCCUCUUCUGCUCCUAGGAAGCCAAAACAUGAUUCUAAAUGGUACGAAAUGAUCAAGCGACGCAAUGCUUUUAAGAGGAAAAAGAAGACUCCAGUCGUUUGUUUCGAAACGGCUACAACUUUGGAAGCCUCUCAUGGGCUUUCAUGGGUUCGAGUUUGCUUGCUUGGCAAAGGAGGAUUUGGUUCUGUCUUUUAUGCUAAAACAAGAACAACCGUCAAUCAGGGAACUCAUCUUCCUCCUCAAAUGGCAGUCAAAUCUGCAAUUAUGGAUCAAUCAUCUUCAUUAAAGCAUGAGAAACAAGUUCUCUGUGAUCUUACUUCCAGUCCGUACGUGGUUCGUUGUUAUGGAGACGAAGUCACGCAUAUGGCUAAUGGGGUGAAAGUAUAUAACUUACUCUUGGAGUACUGUUCGGGACUUAGUUUAGAACGACAAAUAAGAUUAUCUGGUUUUGGGUUGGCUGAUUCUGAUGUUAAGUAUUAUUCAAGAGACGUUCUUCAGGGGUUGAAGUACAUUCAUUGUCGUGGCUACAUCCAUUGCGAUAUCAAGCCGGACAACAUUUUGCUGGUGCCUGGUAAUGGAGAAAGGAAGGGAACUUUUGUAGCAAAGCUUGCGGACUUCGGAUUGGCUGAGGCAGUGAAUGAAGAGUGCCAUGAUUUGAGGGGCACAACCAGAUAUAUGUCUCCAGAAUUGGUGAGAGAAAAAAAGAUUGAGUAUGCUACAGACAUUUGGGCCUUUGGAUGUGCUGUGUUGGAGAUGCUAACUGGAAAACCAGCCUGGGAGUAUUCAGAAGUUGAAGAUCUUCUGUGGGUGAUUGGAUAUACAGAUGAACUGCCUCAAAUACCCAGUAAUGUAUCAGAAGAUGCAAAGGAUUUUCUGAGCCGAUGUUUUGUUCGUACUGCUGCUCAUAGAUGGUCUGCUGAUUGCUUACUAGAGCAUCCAUUCCUCUCUGUGAACUAGGGGUGGAGAAACUCUAAUAUCUGCAAAUAGGCAUGGAAUGUAAUAUGUUGACAAUUUUGCUUUCGUGUUGUUUUUCACUGUACUUCUAGCCUCUUCAUGUAUCAUCCCCUCAUCACAAGCUAGUGUUCCCUCAAGAUCUCUGAUAAAAUGUAAAUUUAGUUGAUUUUCCCCAUCAUUUUCCCUUUUAUUUGUUGUAAGUUUUCCGAUAAUAGCUUUAAAAAAU